rnacentral:rRNA from 1 species
GUGGGGAAUAUUGGGCAAUGGGCGGAAGCCUGACCCAGCGACGCCGCGUGGGGGAAGAAGUCUUUCGGGAUGUAAACCCUUGUUGUACGGGACGAAGGAAGUGACGGUACCUGCAGAAUAAGCACCGGCUAACUACGUGCCAGCAGCCGCGGUAAGACGUAGGGUGCAAGCGUUAAUCGAAAUUACUGGGCGUAAAGCGUGCGCAGGCGGUUUUGUAAGACAGGUGUGACAUCCCCGGGCUCAACCUGGGAACUGCACUUGUGACUGCAAGGCUAGAGUGUGGCAGAGGGAGGUGGAAUUCCGCGUGUAGCAGUGAAAUGCGUAGAGAUGCGGAGGAACGCCGAUGGCGAAGGCAGCCUCCUGGGAUAACACUGACGCUCAGGCACGAAAGCGUGGGGAGCAAACAGGAUUAGAUACCCGGGUAGUCC